rnacentral:rRNA from 1 species
CACGAAGUUAGCCGGGGCUUCUUCUCCGGGUACCGUCAUUAUCGUCCCCGGUGAAAGAGCUUUACAAUCCUAAGACCUUCAUCACUCACGCGGCAUGGCUGGAUCAGGCUUGCGCCCAUUGUCCAAUAUUCCCCACUGCUGCCUCCCGUAGGAGUUUGGGCCGUGUCUCAGUCCCAAUGUGGCUGAUCAUCCUCUCAGACCAGCUAUGGAUCGUCGCCUUGGUAGGCCUUUACCCCACCAACUAGCUAAUCCAACGCGGGCUCAUCCUUUGCCGAUAAAUCUUUCCCCCGAAGGGCACAUACGGUAUUAAUUCCAGUUUCCCGGAGCUAUCCCGUAGCAAAAGGUAGAUUCCCACGCGUUACUCACCCGUCUGCCACUCCCCUUGCGGGGCGUUCGACUUGCAUGUGUUAAGCCUGCCGCCAGCGUUCGUUCUGAGCCAGGAUCAAACUCU